AACGAACGCUGGCGGCAUGCCUAACACAUGCAAGUCGAACGAGACCUUCGGGUCUAGUGGCGCACGGGUGCGUAACGCGUGGGAACCUGCCCUUAGGUUCGGAAUAACUCCCCGAAAGGGGUGCUAAUACCGGAUAAUUUCUUCGGACCAAAGAUUUAUCGCCUUUGGAUGGGCCCGCGUUGGAUUAGCUAGUUGGUAGGGUAAAAGCCUACCAAGGCGACGAUCCAUAGCUGGUCUGAGAGGAUGAUCAGCCACACUGGGACUGAGACACGGCCCAGACUCCUACGGGAGGCAGCAGUGGGGAAUAUUGGACAAUGGGCGAAAGCCUGAUGCAGCAAUGCCGCGUGAGUGAUGAAGGCCUUAGGGUUGUAAAGCUCUUUUACCCGGGAUGAUAAUGACAGUACCGGGAGAAUAAGCUCCGGCUAACUCCGUG
rnacentral:rRNA from 1 species